rnacentral:rRNA from 1 species
ARRRAASSSGACCGGUUUAAWACCUGGUCGAACUGACGGUACGUAAGAAUAAGCACGGGCUACUUCGUGCCAGCAGCGCGGUAAUACGAAGGGUGCAAGCGUUACUCGGAAUUACUGGGCGUAAAGCGUGCGUAGGUGGUUUGUUAAGUCAGAUGUGAAAGCCCUGGGCUCAACCUGGGAACUGCAUUUGAUACUGGCAGGCUAGAGUGCGGUAGAGGGUAGCGGAAUUCCCGGUGUAGCAGUGAAAUGCGUAGAUAUCGGGAGGAACACCAGUGKYGAAGGCGGCCAACUGGCUUGGAACUGACACUCAGGGACGAAAGCGUGGGUAGCGAACAGGAUUAGAUACCCUGGUAGUCCACGCCCUAAACGAUGAGAACUAGUUGUUGGAAGGGUCUGCCUUUCAGUGACGCAGCUAACGCGUUAAGUUCUCCGCCUGGGGAGUACGGCCGCAAGGUUGAAACUCAAAGGAGUUGACGGGGGCCCGCACAAGCGGUGGAGCAUGUGGUUUAAUUCGAUGCAACGCGAAGAACCUUACCUGCCCUUGACAUGCCAGGAAUCCCGCAGAGAUGUGGGAGUGCCUUCGGGAGCCUGGACACAGGUGCUGCAUGGCUGUCGUCAGCUCGUGUCGUGAGAUGUUGGGUUAAGUCCCGCAACGAGCGCAACCCUUGUCUCUAGUUAYUAACAGUUCGGCUGAGCACUCUAGAGAGACUGCCGGUGAUAAACCGGAGGAAGGUGGGGAUGACGUCAAGUCCUCAUGGCCCUUAUGGGUAGGGCUUCACACGUCAUACAAUGGUCGGUACAGAGGGUUGCCAAGCCGCGAGGUGGAGCCAAUCCCAGAAAGCCGAUCGUAGUCCGGAUUGUUCUCUGCAACUCGAGAGCAUGAAGUCGGAAUCGCUAGUAAUCGCGGAUCAGCAUGUCGCGGUGAAUACGUUCCCGGGUCUUGUACACACCGCCCGUCACACCAUGGGAGUGGGUUGCUCCAGAAGUAGCUAGUCUAACCUUCGGGAGGACGGUUACCACGGAGUGAUUCAUGACUGGGGUGAAGUCGUAACAAGGUAACCGUA